CAGCUUGAUGGGAGCCUCAAGAAGCCAGGGGACAUGGAAAUCAGGGGCUUCCUGCAGCUUAGAUGUUUGUAAUGAGAGGGGCUUAUGUAUAUGAAAUCAUGUCAUCUGCAGACAGGGGUAAUUAGACCUCCUUCUAACUAGGUAUACAUGACAGCAGAAUGCGUUUUGAUUCAUUAUACACAAAUGAAGCACAGCAUUGCAUUUCUCUGGUUGUCCAUGAAGUAGAAUCUCACUAUUUGAGCAGUACACCAUUCGUGCAGUUGUACAUGUACCUAGGAUAAUGAUAUCCAUCUCAUUCCACUAUCUUUCCUACCCCAUGCCCCUUCUCAUCCCCUUACUGUCCUCUGCCCAAUCCAAAGUUCCUCAGUUCUUCCCAUACCCACCCCCUACCAUUAUGGAUCAGCAUCCACAUAUCAGAGAAAACAUUUACCCUUUGGUUUUGGGGGACUGGCUUGUCACUUAACAUGAAAUUCUCCAGCUUCAUCCACUUACCUGCAAAUGUAUGGCCAGUACUUCUAAUAGUGUAUUGAACAAGAGUUUUGUCUUGUUCCUGAUCUUUUUUUUAAAAAUAUUUACUUUUUAGUUGUAGUUAGACACAA
rnacentral:lncRNA from 1 species